rnacentral:rRNA from 1 species
AUCGAACGCUGGCGGCAUGCCUAACACAUGCAAGUCGAACGAAGUCUUCGGACUUAGUGGCGCACGGGUGCGUAACGCGUGGGAAUCUGCCCUUGGGUACGGAAUAACUCAGAGAAAUUUGUGCUAAUACCGUAUAAUGUCUUCGGACCAAAGAUUUAUCGCCCAAGGAUGAGCCCGCGUAAGAUUAGCUAGUUGGUGGGGUAAAAGCCUACCAAGGCGACGAUCUUUAGCUGGUCUGAGAGGAUGAUCAGCCACACUGGGACUGAGACACGGCCCAGACUCCUGCGGGAGGUAGCAGUGGGGAAUAUUGGACAAUGGGCGAAAGCCUGAUCCAGCAAUGCCGCGUGAGUGAUGAAGGCCUUAGGGUUGUAAAGCUCUUUUACCAGGGAUGAUAAUGACAGUACCUGGAGAAUAAGCUCCGGCUAACUCCGUGCCAGCCGCCGCCGUAAAAC